AUGUUGGAGGGUUGGUGGUAGCGGCUUGGGGAGGUGCUCGCUCUGUCGGUCUCGCUCUCGCACGCUUCCCCCGGCUCCCUUCGUUUCCCCCCCCCGGUCGCCUGCGUGCCGGAGUGUGUGCGAGGGAGGGGGAGGGCGUCGGGGGGUGGGGGGAGGCGUUCCGGUCCCCAGGAGACCCGCGGAGGGAGGCGGAGGCUGUGAGGGACUCCGGGAAGCCAUGGACGUCGAGAGGCUCCAGGAGGCGCUGAAAGAUUUUGAGAAGAGGGGGAAAAAGGAAGUUUGUCCUGUCCUGGAUCAGUUUCUUUGUCAUGUAGCCAAGACUGGAGAAACAAUGAUUCAGUGGUCCCAAUUUAAAGGCUAUUUUAUUUUCAAACUGGAGAAAGUGAUGGAUGAUUUCAGAACUUCAGCUCCUGAGCCAAGAGGUCCUCCCAACCCUAAUGUCGAAUAUAUUCCCUUUGAUGAAAUGAAGGAAAGAAUACUGAAAAUUGUCACUGGAUUUAAUGGUAUCCCUUUUACUAUUCAGCGACUAUGUGAAUUGUUAACAGAUCCAAGGAGAAACUAUACAGGAACCGAUAAAUUUCUCAGAGGAGUAGAAAAGAAUGUGAUGGUUGUUAGCUGUGUUUAUCCUUCUUCAGAGUAAGUAUAUUUUUUCUAUUUCUAGUAUAUUAUUUACUAUAUUUAAUCAUUUUAUUGCUUCUAAUAUAUUAUUCUUAAAAUAGACUGAAUUUAUUUAAUAUGUAAUUAAGUGUGAUAACAUACUUGUGAACCUACCAUUCAGUCCCCAAAGUAGAAUAUUACUAAUAACAUUAUCUAUAUGUUUUUUCCAGUAAAGAGAUUUGGAUUAAAGAGAUUGGUGAUUUACUGUAAUUUUAAUAUUGUUGGAUUUACAUACUGUGGUGGCACUCAUUGCCCUGAGAUGCCAUUCUAGAUGCCUUUCCAGGGUGUCUCUAGGGCAUAAUUCCCAUGUUUGGAAUAACUACUUGAUGGCUUUUCUCUUCAUGAUGGAAAAUAUUUCCAGUUGUCAAGAUUU
rnacentral:sRNA from 1 species